rnacentral:lncRNA from 1 species
GGUCAAAAUGUCCAGGGGCAGAGGCCAAAGAUGGAGGUGUGGUGACUGAAGGCUGCCACUAGCUUGCCCUCUUCUUUGCUUCUCCCCUCCAGGUGCCUCCUUGACAGCUGUGGUCGGAGCCAUGAGCUUCCUGUAGUUGUGGGAACAAGGCACUCCAUUCUGGUUGGAGCCCUUAUCCUGAGAUUCCUCCAACAAUCUGAGUCUCAGUACAGGCCAGCUUUCUUCUGCCACCUGCAUUCCUGGGAUCUGGGAUCCAGAAAUUCCUCAGUACUCUUUCUUUCCUGGGAUUCCUCUAGAGACUUGGGGUCUCCAGGAGACACUUAACUACCAAUUCAGUGUGAUAAUUGAAAGAAUACCCGAUUUAAGGUCAGAAGACUGAGUUGCAUCCCACCUCAGACAAGGGAUAUAGAAGAUUGAGGAAAUCAUUUAAUCUUUCUCAUCCUUAGUUUUGCAGCAGCAGAAGCAGCAGCAACAACAACAAAUUGUUGAAAGGAAAUACCAGUUACCAUUAAGGAAUGUUAUGAGAAAAUGAGCUAAUUUUUGAAAUUCAGAGUUACAUAAACACGAGGUUGCAUGUCAAUCAUUCAUAGAGAAGAAUAAUUAAGUUCAAGAAAUUCCUUCACCUUUCUGGUUACAAGUGUCUUUUUAAAAAUAUUAUUCUUGCAGAACAUUUACC